CGUGACCAUAGAUAUAAGGAUUAAAAAGUAAAUAGAUGGCAAUACUUCAAAGAUCACUUGCAAAUAAAGACUGUACAAAGAAAGAUUUCUAGAAAACAAUUUAUAUCAUGUCAUUACUAAUGAUAAAUGUAUACAAAAUUAAACCAUUAAUGAGGCUUCAAUUAUGUUUAAAGUAAGACUUCCCAUAAUUUUAAAUGGUCUACUAGG
rnacentral:misc_RNA from 1 species